UUUUUAAGCCAGAUAUUCUGAGCAAGCCCAAUUCUGUCUGAUCUCGGAAGCUAAGCAGGGUCGGGCCAGGUUAGUACUUGGAUAGGAGACCACCUAGAAACACCAGGUGCUGUAGGCA
rnacentral:rRNA from 1 species